UCCUCCCAUACUGUCAUUGCUGCU
rnacentral:piRNA from 1 species